GUGCUUGGGAGCUCGGGGUUAAUAGAUACAAAUUAUUGCCUUUGGAAUGGAUUAGCAAUGAGAUCCUGCUGUGUAGCACUGGGAGCCAUGUCUAGUCACUCACGAGGGAGCAUGAGAACGUGCGAAAAUAGGAUGUGUACAUGUAUGUGUAACUGGGUCACCAUGCUGCACAGUAGGAAACAAAUGUAGUGGGAAAUAACUAUUUAAAAAAAUGUUCGACUGUUUUACCUUCUGUGGGGGAAGGUAACUAAUCAGAACAGUUUGUAAUUAGGAGUUCCUGUCAUGGUUCAGUGGUUAACAAAUCUGACUAGGAACCAUGAGGUUGUGGGUUUGAUCCCUGGCCUUGCUCAGUGGGUUAACGAUCCGGCGUUGCCGUGAGCUGUGGUGUAGGUCGAAGAUGCGGCUUGAAUUCUGCAUUGCUGUGGCUGUGGUGUAGGCCGCAGCAAGAGCUCCAAUUAGAUCUCUAGCCUGGAACCUCCAUAUGCCGAGGGUGCAGCCCUAGAAAAGAUGGAAAGACAGGAAAAAAAAAGAAAAAAGAAAGCAAGCAAAGGAAGAGAUUGGAUUUGAGAGGAUGUGAGCAAAGCACGUAGAUAGGGCUGGAAGGGAGGGCAGUACAGACGCCGAGUUUGGUGCCUUUAGGAAUGGGUGCUGUAGACUGUAGAACAGUCUGGACGUGUCAUUAGUGUUUUGGAAACUGAGAAACAGGUUAAUGUAGAGUCAUUACCUCGGCAGAAUUUGGAAGCUGAACCAGAGGGAGAGGUGGUGCUGCUGGUGAGAAGCGGGAGUAGAGGUACCAGCAGUCUCUAGAGGCCUAGGGGUGGCAGGUGGGGCUCGCUGGCAGGGCCGACUGGACGUCUGUAGGAAGUCCUCUAGGGUCUGGCUUCACUUCCCUGUCCCAGCAGUGGCACAGUGUACGCUUUGGUAAAUAAAGUUUGAACCAAAGGGAUGCCAGGUUUGCGGAGCGGGGAGGGUGGUAGGUACACAGGUGAGGUGAAAGUUUGCGUAUUAAGUGAGAACCUCAGAACAUCCCAGAAUUCUUGCAUCCCAGCAGCAGAUUCGAAGAUUCUUUUUUGAGAAAGAACUGGCUCAGAUGUAAAGGUCUGCAGCCUCUGACAGUUGCCACACUGUACUCUCGUCAUUGAUGGCAUUGCUGUGCCUUAAACAACUACACCCGUUUUGUUCUCUCUCCCAGUUUCUGAUGGCCAGGAUUUAGGAAGGGCGGGGCGGUAGUUUUGGCUUGGAUUUCCCUGUAGGUUGUGGUCGUGUGGUGGCUGCAGACAGAACAGCAGGGGUGCCGAAGCAGCUUGGGCUGGCCGGUCGUCUCCCCUCCUGCGGUCCCUCGGGACAGGCGGAUAGCAAGAGAACCGGGUGUGAGUCUGUCGCCUCUAUGACUCAGCCUCAGGGGCCAGAGCAGCAUCUCCGCCGUCGUCGCAAGUCUGUUCCGCUUCGGGGGGAGGCCACGUAGGUUCCGUCUCUCUUUCUUCUUCUUGUCUGGGCCCACAGCAUGAGGAGGUUCCCAGGACAGAGAUCAAAACCACACGACCGCAGCAACUGGAGGUGCUGCAGUGCCAGUGCCAGUGCCGGGUCCUAACCUGCUGCACCGCUGGGGAACUCCCAGCUUCCGUCUUCUGGUAGCAGUUGAAUGAAGCACGCGAAGGAUGGCGUUGUAGCUGUCAUUGGAGGAGCUGGUUUAUCACAGUUUACCCUUGGUUGUAAGGCAUCUCUCCCACGGGCAAGUUACAGCCACACCCUCUCCCCACACCCGCAGUCUCCUCCUCGUGGCAUUGGCUUCCAUUCAGGAUCUCGUCACCCGUGGCCAGAUGAACUUCCUCAGGUGUGCAUCUGGAUCUGGACACACGUGAACCGAAGAGACGAGUAAUCUGCCAUUACCUCCAACUUAAAAUCGGUGUCAGGCUGUGGCGAAUUGCUGCAGACACAGCUGUUCCGAAAGGGGGACGCAGGCACAGCAGCCACUGGGUCCAGAGCUUUCUGAGAUCCAGCCAGGCACAAGCUGCGAGUCCUCGAUGAGGACUCAGUUCUCUUACCUGGAAGUGAUUCUCCAGGGCUCUUGGCUCUGCUCUGAGGGUUCUGGGUUUGCCUCUUGAGUUAUCCUUUUCCUUAAGUAAUGUCUGUUUAAAAAAAAAUUGUGUUAAGGAAGUUCCCUUUUGGUGCAGAGGGUUAAGGAUCCAAUGCUGCUGUAGCUGUGGUGCGCAGGUUGUUGGUGCAAGUUCUAUCCCUGGCCCCGGAACUUUCUCGUGCUGUGGGUGUGACCCCCUAAAAAUUGUGUUAAAAUAUACAACAUAGGAGUUCCCAUCGUGGCGCAGUGGUUAACGAAUCCGACUAGGAACCAUGAGGUUGCGGGUUCGGUCCCUGCCCUUGCUCAGUGGGUUGACGAUC
rnacentral:lncRNA from 1 species